rfam:Myotis brandtii contig303414, whole genome shotgun sequence.
UAAAUGGAUGUUUUCACAUCCAUUUAGACUAAAAAUAAAGACUCA